ACAAGCUCGAGUCGCCUCCCCUUUCCCGCCUCAAAACUCCCGCUAACAAGGGCUGGCACUGAACCGAAGAGGAGGUGGCGGUUACCCGAGCGCGCGCGUGCGCACCCGGACUCGGAGCCAUCUUGCACAGGCGCACUGCAACAGAAGUUGGUCCAGGAAAAGCGAUUACCUCACUCACUGUGUCCCUCUUUUAAGGAAACUCAUUGCUAUCAGGACAGUGGGCCACUUCUGCACCCUUCCUCCUAACCAGCUGCUUUCCCAGAUUCUCAAAUGGGAAUUAUCUUGGUCUAUGUUUUCAUACAGGAACUUUUGACAAGCCUGCUUGCUGCUCUUUCGCUGGUGGAAGGACCAGACAUCUUGCAUUGGCACAUACAUUUAUAUUAAAAAUUGCAUAAAGCCCUAAUAUUUAUAUGUAACAUACAUAGUACAUUUAAAUUGCUUUUUGUCUUCAAAGCAUUUUAAUAAUUCAUCUUCAGCUGCCUGAGGCUUGCAGUUUGUGGGGUCAACACCACUUCCCCCCAAACCACAGCCAUGUUUAGACCUGGUUUUCAAAGGUGCCUUGCACAUGCAGCUCCAAAUAAGGGUCAUGGUACCAAAUUAGCUGGCAAAAAAUUGACAUGCAAAAUUAUAGACCUCUUCUAUGUUGAUGUAAGUAACUUGUUUAAGGUCACAAAAGGCAGCGUCUGAGGAAGUCACAUGCAUAAUCCAUCAGCUUAUCCUGCCUCUUCAUACUGUCAAAGCAGUUACAAACAUUGUAUUCUUACUUGCCUGGAUAAGUGAACAGAAAUUACUUGUUCAAGUUCAGUUUCAAUACUGCAGUUAAUACUAGUUCGCUAUAAUUCCAUAAAAUAUAUCCUUACUGCUACAGGUGUGAUAAAUGAAAGGGGGAGUGGGGGAUACCUCCCUUUUAUGAACACCCAGCCAGCCAGUUAGCUACACAAUCCCUGUUAGUAGCUGUUCUCUGCUUGCUUUACCUGUAAAGGGUUAAAAAAAGCCAAUAGGUAAAAGGAAGGGAGCAGGCACCAGACCAAAGGAGCCAAUGGGAGGGCUAGAACUUUUUAAAAUUGGGGGAAAAAAACUUUCCCUUUGUCUGUCUGUCUGUCGUUCCCCAGAGAGAGGGGACAAAGCAGGGCCAGAGCUGGGACUAUGCUGUAAAAAGCUUUGAGCCAAGUAUGAAAAAUCAUCAAUCAUACCUAGAAACUACUUACUGAAAACCCUAUAUAUGUAAGUAGAUCAGGAAAUGUCUAGGAAGAUGCGAUUAGGUUUAUUUCUUUGUGGCUUGUGGACUCCUCUGUGCUAACCCCCAAAUGCUUUUGUUUUGCUGUAACCAUUAAGCUGGACCUCAAGAAAACCAUUCUUGAUGCUUGAUUAUUAUAUUUCCUCUUUUUAAAUUUAGUAAUAGCGUAAGUUCCAGAUGUUUUCUUUCUUUUUGUUUUUAAUAAAGUUUACCCUUUUUAAGAA